UGUGCCAUUCUCACUCCUCAUCUUGCUCAGAGCUGCUCUUAGGCUCCCAAUGUGUUUAAGGGACUCCAUAACCACAUGUAGAACCGAGCAUAUUUCUCUCCAUCUUUUUGCCCCUCUCUCUCCCUCUCCUACACAUGACUUUUCCUAGUGAGCACUUUCUAGGCCCUGCAGAAUCAAUGCAGAAUCAGUCUUAGUUGCAGACAUUGCAUUGUCUUGCAGGACGAUGGGACCCACGGAGGGCAGAUACACAGACCACUAGACAGACAUUGCAGAAUCAGUCUUAGUUGAGGAGCUCGUUGCCUGGUCGGAAAAGAAAGGAGGAAAUAGACCGCAAUCAUGAUAAUCACCACAAACACUGAAAUUCCUCUUUCUGUGCACAGCCACUGGGAGAGGUUUAAAUUUCUUAGGAUUUUUGUCACAUUUUUUCACUCCGUCAAUACUUCCAACGCUGUGAAGCGGAUACUCUUUUCAUUAUCCUAUUUUGUCAAGACCCUUAUUUUCUUUAAUGUUUAUUUAUUUUUUGAGAAAGAGGGACAGAGCAUGAGCAGCAGAGGGGCAGAGAGAGAGGGAGACACAGAAUCCGAAGCAGGCUCCCGGCUCUGAGCCGUCAGCACAGAAUCCAAUGCGGGGCUCGAACUCAUGAACCGUGAGAUCAUGACCGGAGCCAAAGUCAGACACUCACCUGACUAAGCCACCCACGUGCCUCUAUUUUCUUGAAGAUAGUUUGAUGUGGGGUUCGAACUCAUGAACUGUGAGAUCAUGACUUGAGCCUAAGUCGGAUGCUCUACCGACAUCAUCCUAUUUAGAAAAUGGGGGGAACCGAGGUGCCGAACAAUUAAGUAACUUGCGCAAGGUCACGUACCUAGUCAAAGGCCAGGCUGACUCAGUCCCAGGCCACUUUACUGCACCACACAACACCUCCUCUGCCCGUGACGUUGUUGUUUUACAGCCCCGAGUGGCACCUCUGGGAAGCUUCCUGGAGGAGAUGUCUGAAUCGUGAAAAAUGAAUACAAGUUUCUCCGGCAAAGGAGGAAGCAGGCUGCAGGGUAAAAGGAGUCUUCUAGCCUAAGGCGAUGUCAAAGUCUGGAAGCUGGGAAACGGGGACUCAAUUCUGAAAGCCAGGCGGAGCCUCUAAAAAUCUCAAGGAUGACCAGACUUGUGCUCUAGACACUCCUGCUCUCAUUUGUGGGUGUUUCUGAAAGCCACAGUGUGAAGGAUAGAGGCUCUGCAGAGAACAGCCAAGCAUCCCUUACUGUCUCUCUCUCUCUCUCUCCCUACUGCGUACCUACCCUCCACAUCCACUAGGACCUUUGCUCAUUCAUUCGUUCACUGAUGCAACAUUAUUCAACAGCUGUUGAUGAAGUGCCUCUUCUGUGUCAGGAACUGCACCAGGUACCAAUGUGACAAACAUGGACGAGGCACAGGUGAUGCCCUGAGAAGGACAGGGCUGCCGGGGACACAGGCGUAUACUCACGUGAGUUCAGAAGCAACAACGUGCAAAAUGCUAGAUCGUGGACAUGUUCAAAGUGCGAAACCUGAACAGUAGAGGAGGCGAUAGGUCUUCACGGUUAAGAACACAGACCCUGGAGUCACAUCGCUCUGGGUUCAAAUCUCAGCUCGGCCGCAUGGUGGCUGUGUGACCUUGGGUCACAUUCCAUUUCUCUGAAUCUUAGUUUCCUUAUGAGCAAAUGUAGAUCAGAGAGUUGUUACAAAGAUCGAAGGAGUUAACGGUUUUUUAAAGUUAACUUAGUACAAUACAAACGUAGAAGCCCCGAAGUGACAAUAUUCCCCAGUAGAUGUCACUGCUACAUAGGGAGUUGGGUGAGAUGUCUGAGUUCAAGUCUACCACUUAAGGAUCCCUUCAGGAAACUGGUAUACAAAAGGCUUUCUUUUCAAAAUACAAAAAUACAGCAGAGCGUGAGUAGGCUGUGAAAUGUACAGGGGUCAGGGCUCACGAUCACCUUUCCUAAGUCUUUAGACGUACUUGGAAGUUUUAAAUAUUUUCCAGAGUGGCUCUCUGAUGGAAGCAAUUUUCUUUCUGUUUCCUAGAAAUCCUAGAUUUGAUUUCUUUGGCUUAGGUUUUGUCAGGGAGCACCUAUUAAUUUCCAAGUGUUUCAAACCAUUUCUGAGAAGGCAUGUGACUAAUGGUUGCCAGAAGCCACCAAGAUCUAACUUUAAGAGGAACUCAAGACGGGGACCUGGGGACCUUGUGGCACAGGAAAAACCUUCAGGCAGCAAGAGGCAGCAUCACUGGGGCUGGCUUUAUGGCAACUAAGUUUGAACCUAUAGCCCUAUUUUCGGUGGACCGGGAAAGGUCGAAGUUCAGCGACUCAGGUUUUGCUCCAUGAUCUCCAUAGAUCUCAGCUCAGACAUGGCAUAGUGGGUGAGUGAUUUUCUUUCUGGCUCUUGAUGCUGACAUGACCAGCCCUUGGGGUGAAAUAGGUAGGCAGACACCACAGGGGUCAUCGUGCACUCAUCUUCUUAUCAGAUCUCGUACAGAAAACUUCCUUUGGACCAGACUUAGUGUGAGGGAUACAGAGGCGAAUAAGGCAUGGUCCUUUUCCUCAAACAGUUCCCAGUCUAGACGUGAGUGGGAGGAAUAGGCCUGCGAGAGUAUAGGUAUAAUACGCUCUUUUAAAUAUAUUUUUAAAGAAGUGUCAAUAAAGUCUGUAAAGAAGGGGAAUUUGGACCUUUGUGUUGAAGGAUGAAUGGGAGUUUUUCAUGGGGACACGUGAGAGGAGAACAUUCCAGAUAGAAGAAGCAAUGCCCAUCCCAGUACAACGCCUCAAAGGCAAAACUAAUAGCAACUGCUCUGAAUUGAGGGUCUCGGGACUUGGGUGGAAAGAUGAGGUGCCCCUCUCAAAUUCAAGGAGGCUGUGUGCGGGUGCCUCAAAGGCCCAAAGACCCUGUAAAAGGAGUCCUAAAUGCUUCCAUGUUGGAACCACCCUUUUCCCCUAUAUUGUUCAUUUUGUGACUUCUAGUUCCUUGCUAGGCAAUCAGCGCCCACUUCAUUUCACAGGGGCCAGGCUACGAGGGUAAUUUUGGGCACACAAUACAAUUUGCCUCGGCCCUUGUAAAGGAAGGCCCUGGUAAAAUAACAACCAGCCUUAAGGUACACUAGCUAAUAGUGAUAAGGGUGGAUGUUAGUGAUGGUUCAUCCUGUUGAGUGCUGUCUAGCCCUGUAUUAAAUGAUGCGUGUGUGUUAUCUCAUCUAAUCCUCAUACCCACCUUACGAAGGAGAAGGCAGAAGAGUGUCAGGUUCGCGGCAAAGCCUGGGCUGUGGGCAUCUGGGGCCAGACUGGCUGGGUUCGUAUCUUGACAGUAUUCCUUAUGAGCUAGGUGACCUCGGGAAAUGGCUCCAUGCUUCUGCGUGCCCCAGUGUCUCCAUCUAUAAAAUGGGGAUAAUCACAGUACCUACCUUUUGCAUAUGAAUUCACUUUAGGGGAUGGCACCGGAAGAGCUAUCCUGGGCUGCAGAUCGCCAGGAGUGGUUUUAAAAACCUACUUUGUAUCCAGCUGCCAGCACCUCACUCACGGUGAAUGAAUCUGAGAAACUCAACAGGAAUGUGAGGGGAAUCCUCAGUGAUAAUCUGGCUCUGUAGAUUAUCAGAUAAAUGGGACUACGAACAAGAUUUUCUUUUCCCUAGAGGACUACACAGGGGUGGAGGCUGGGGAACGAGGGAGAGUUUUAUCUUUAGCUUCAUGACGGAAUGAAGAAGAGAUAUGAGAAGGCGAGUAGGUUCUUCUUUUUCCCUCCCCUUUUAAGUAUUGAGGAAAAACAAAUGUUCCCAUUGCUACUACAGAAAUAUAUGGGUUUGGUUGUAAAUGGAUGUGCUUUGUUUUUAGGAAACAUGCAACAGCUAUAUACGUGAGGGUCUCCUGGUAAUAGUCUGUGCCACCCUUGUUCCGAUACUGGCCUUGCUCAGAGAUGUUUUGAGACCUUUUUUUGGGGGGGGGGGGGAAUUGACUCCAGGACAUUCACAGCACCUUGUCUGGAGCGGUCUGAGUGGUCAGUCUGGUGAAGACUGUGUUUAGGUUUCACAGAAUAGUCAAAAUGCUUUACAUACUGAGGGAGGUGAAUAAGAAGGCUGUUAAGAUUGAGUAAGAUUUCUCUGUUUCACAAUGAGGUUUUAAAAAGCAGCAAAACUGCCUGGCUAUAAAACAUAACCAUUUCUUUUAAAUUUUAUUUUGUUUUGUUUUGUUUUGCAAUGCUCUGAAGGCAGGUUACAAAACAUUGGAAACAAGGACAGCAUUGGGGAGGACUAUAUCAUGAUUCCUAAAGUGACCAUUUUGAGAAGCAGUCAUCCUGGCUAUUUCAAAUAUGACAUUUAAUACCAACCGAGCCAAAUCAAGUCAAAUGACCUUAGGACUUUAUAUUUACUUGGUGUGUAGGCCAGGCAGAACUGGUAAGAGCCAGGGAUGCUUGGCCAAUAGAGAUAUAAAGUCCUGCCUGAAUUGAGCGACUCCUAUUCAGCUUAACCACCUUGUUGCCAGGUAGGAAAUUAGUGCCAAUACGGCUGGAUGUUCUGAUUUUUUAAAAAGAAGCAGGAACCAUAGGGGCGCCUGGGUGGCUCAGUUGGUUGAGUUUCUGACUUCGGCUCAGGUCGUGACCUCAGGGUUCAGGGGUUCGAGCCCUGCGUCGGGCUCUGUGCUGACAGCUCAGAGCCCGGAGCCUGCUUCGGAUCCUCUGUCCUCCUCCCUCUCUGCCCCUCCCCUACUCACGCUGUCUCAAAAAUAAACAUUUAAAAAAAUAAUAAAGAAAAAAGCCGGAUACCUAAAAAUUGAAUGUGAAAUCCCCUGUGUUUAAAUAUUGACAACUUAUUCACAAGUUUAAAAACCAUAAUGCAGGCCUGACGAAACAAUUUUGAGGAAUUAGUUUUGCCCUGGGCCACCUGACAGCUUCUGGGUUUGUUGCUGAUUUUAAUCACGAAAGUCCUUAAA